GAUGAACGCUGGCGGCGUGCUUAACACAUGCAAGUCGAGCGAGAAGUUUUGAAAAGAUUCUUCGGAUGAAAUUUAAAAUGGAAAGCGGCGGACGGGUGAGUAACGCGUAGGCAACCUGCCCCAUACAAAGGGAUAGCAUUUGGAAACGAAUAUUAAUACCUUAUGAAACUUAACUAGUGCAUGCUAGGUAGGUCAAAGAUUUAUCGGUGUGGGAUGGGCCUGCGUCUGAUUAGCUAGUUGGUGAGGUAACGGCUCACCAAGGCGACGAUCAGUAGCCGACCUGAGAGGGUGAACGGCCACAUUGGAACUGAGACACGGUCCAAACUCCUACGGGAGGCAGCAGUGGGGAAUAUUGCACAAUGGGGGAAACCCUGAUGCAGCAACGCCGCGUGAACGAUGAAGGCCUUUGGGUCGUAAAGUUCUGUUCUAGGUGAUGAAAACUGACAGUAACCUAGGAGAAAGCCCCGGCUAACUCCGUG
rnacentral:rRNA from 1 species